CAGAGUUAGAGCUUCACAGAUGCCAAGACACUGGGCAGAAAACCAUGAGAGCUGUGGACAUGAAACACAAGCCAAGCAACAAAGGAAAAAAGCAAUAUAACCUCCGCUUCAGCCUUGAGGAGAAAGAACCAUCCACCUUCAGCCACUGAUAGCUUCCCCAUCAACUCGGAAUGACUCAGUCUCCACCUUUUCAUCCUCUCAGUUGCACCAUGUGGCUGACAAUCAAGGUGGAGUUUGCCACCUUGAGUACCUGCAACAACCAGAAGAGAAGAGAAGAGAAGAGAAGAGAAGAGAAGAGAAGAGAAGAGAAGAGAAGAGAAGAGAAGAGAAGAGAAGAGAAGAGAAGAGAGGGAUAGAGCAAUUAGAACAAAACUGAAGGUACAACAAGACAUGGGU